rnacentral:rRNA from 1 species
GGAGUUUGGACCGUGUCUCAGUUCCAAUGUGGGGGACCUUCCUCUCAGAACCCCUACUGAUCGCGGGCUUGGUGGGCCGUUACCCCGCCAACAACCUAAUCAGACGCAUCCCCAUCCCAUAGCGGUGAACCUUUGGUAUUCCUCAGAUGUCAUCGAAAUACAACAUAGAGCAUUAAUCCGACUUUCGCCGGGCUAUUCUCUACUAUGGGGAAGGUUGGAUACGCGUUACUCACCCGUGCGCCGGUCGCCAUCAAAGAAAGCAAGCUUCCUUCAUGCUGCCCCUCGACUUGCAUGUGUUAAGCCUGUAGCUAGCGUUCAUC